ACUCGGCGAUUUAAUUGAGAAUUGAUUUUUUUUAUAUUUUAAUUGAAAUAGCAGGGAUUGUAUUAUUGUUAGAGAAUUAAUUGAUUUUAUUUAUAGUUAAAAGUAUAGAGAUAGAAUAUAUUAAGGUAUAAGAAAGAAGCGUUAAUUAUGCGUACCUUGGGUAUCAGGGUUUACUAAAAAAAGUUAUCUAUAUAAAUUUCUCGAAUUAUAAAGAGUUAUUUGAAUAUGGGAGUUAUUGUAGCAUAAUUAUCAUAAAUAUUCAAAUGGAAGUGAAACGUUAGUCGUUUUAUAAUAUAUCUAGUUAUCUGGGAAAUAAGUUUAAUUUUCUGUCUUAUGUUAUGCAAGUAAAUUUGUAUUUGCAUGUAUAAAGAUGGGAAUAACCUAAGGGAUGAGCUUUGGGUUAAAAUUUUAUAAUGAUAGCCUUUUAAAAUAGAGAGUAGGAUUAGAAUUUUUCAUUUUGAAUUAAUAUGUUGUAAUUAUCUAUUUUAGUUAAAUUAUUUAUGUUUCAUUUAAAUGUUCUACCAGAAAAUGCUUUUUAAUUAAAUGGGAGCAGUAAUAAUGGUAAAAUUAGUAAAUUUAUAUGUAUGGGGGAUUUCUGUGUAAAGGUUAAAGUAAGGAACUCGGCAAAUUUAUUUUUCACCUGUUUAAUAAAAACAUGUCUUUCUGUGAAUAAUUUAAGGUUUAGCCUGCUCCAUGACUAAGUUAAAUAGCCGCAGUAUAUUGACUGUGCAAAGGUAGCAUAAUCAUUAGUUUCUUAAUUGGAAGCUGGAAUGAAGGGCUGGAUGAGGAAAUAGCUGUCUCACUUUAAUUUUCAUUGAAUUUUAUUUUUAAGUCAAAAAGCUUAAAUUAAAUAAAAAGACGAGAAGACCCUAUAGAGUUUGAUAAAUAUAGGUUUUAAUUGUUUAAAGUUUUGAUUGUAGUUAUUAUUUAGUUUAUUUGGUUGGGGUGACAUAGGAAUUUAAUAAACUUCUUUUUUCUAACACAUUAGUUUAUGGGCGGUUGAUCCUGAGAUUUGGAUUAUAAGAAUAAAUUACCUUAGGGAUAACAGCGUAAUCUUUUUGGAGAGCCCAAAUCAAUAAAAGGGAUUGCGACCUCGAUGUUGGAUUAAAGUUAAGUUCAGGUGCAGAAGCUUGAAUUUUGAGUCUGUUCGACUCUUGAAACUUUACAUGAUCUGAGUUUAAACCGGCGUGAGCCAGGUUGGUUUCUAUCUUUUAUAGUUAAAAUAUUUUAGUACGAAAGGACCAGAUAUUUGAAUAUUAAUUUUAAUGAUUGAACAAAAUU
rnacentral:rRNA from 1 species